UAGGGAAUCUUCCACAAUGGGCGCAAGCCUGAUGGAGCAACGCCGCGUGAGUGAAGAAGGGUUUCGGCUCGUAAAACUCUGUUGUUAAAGAAGAACAUAUCUGAGAGUAACUGUUCAGGUAUUGACGGUAUUUAACCAGAAAGCCACGGCUAACUACGUGCUAG
rnacentral:rRNA from 1 species